GAGGGAAUGAGAAAAUAAGUACAAUGCAGCCUGGUGGAAACAAAGACUUUCAGCUAGAUCAUUUCCUUCAGUUUUCCUGUCUAAAUCAUUUUUCCAGGAGCAGUUGGCUCCAUGGUUUUGGGGCUUGGAGAAAAGCCUGGGCAGGGCAGCCCCGAUGGCAACAACCUCCUCAGCAUCCUGACCUCCUCACCUGGCACAGACUCCAGGAGCCAGAUCCAAACUCCCAUGGAGAGUGAUGACACGUGCUCCCACAAGCACUGGCACGUAGGUGUCAGCAGGCCAGGCUGCCUGGGAUUUUGAAAGCAACACCUCGAGAAGCUGAGAUGCACAUGCUGCGAAGGAGAAGCUUUCCUCUUGGAAGCAUAGCGUUUCCAAGAAAAGGACAUUCUGUUCUCCACCACCUCUAAAAAUGCAACCGAUUCUGUCAUCUCCAUAUUUGUUUUGCUACA
rnacentral:lncRNA from 1 species